UCUAUUAUUUGUAUUUACUCUCCCAUGCAAUUUUCUCGCUUACUCUUUCUCUCGUGUUGAGAAAUGGAGAAGGAGAUGAUUAGGGCUGGUGGGUCGGAGUCCGAGUCUCAAAGAGCACCACUAAGAAGGAGAGGUGAGGAGCGGUUUUUACCACCUGCAAGAGGAAGCAUCAAACGCAAGAUUCUGGGCCUUCUUUACAAAAUUUUCAAGCGUCAAACUCAACGUGGCUUUCAUUACCUUCUUAGCUACUGCAGUCACAGUUCUACUACGUAAGAGGAUAUUAAUUCUCUAUUAACGUACAUAUUUCUUGCAGCUGCAUGCCUCUUUAUCAAUUUGGACUUUAAUUUUCUUAAUCUCCAAUGCAAUUUAUAAUGAGUAGAUGUGAAAAGUGUCAUUUCAUUUUUUUUUUUAGUUUAUUUUUUAGUAUAUAUCAUUCAAUACUAUAAAUUCACUUAUUCUACUGAUUUAGAUUCAUACCGAGCACAGCGUUUUCUCAAAAAAAAAAAAAAAAAAAAAAAACCAAGGAAUAAGAGUUGACUCUAGCACAGCAAAUGAGACAAUCACAUGUUAAAUAUAUUCACUAGAAUAAAUUCAAUAAGCAGUUCAUCUCAACAUAAACUUCUGCCACACAGCAUUUACAAUACACAAGCCAUAAUUGAAAGCUCACAUUUAUUAACUGGCAAUAAAUCUCAGUCUCAUGCAAAACCUGUGGUCUAGGAGUAUCCAAAAGCUGUACCAACACAGACGAACUUUACUGACUAAAAGGAUCUAUUGGGUUUGGAUGACGAAGAUGACUUGGCUUUAGCGAAAUCAACCAGAUCUUUGAAGAGAGCAUCUUCUGGUUUUGUUUGUUUAUUGGGAGUAGAUGGAUUAACAGAGAGAUUCUGGGUUUGUCCAACUAAACCAUCAUAAGAGGAACCAGAGCCGCUACUUGAAUUAGUAGAGCUGCCAAUAGAUCCAUGUUGCUCAAAGAAUUCCUGUCUCUGAUUGUACCUGGAAGGAGGGGGUGGAAGAGAUCCACGAGGUGCCUCCCGAGGUGCUGGAGGUAGCUGAUCAGCAGAUUUGCUUAAAGGACCUGGUUCAUCAUAUAAAGGCUGCCCAGUGUAAAAAGGUGAAGAAUUUACAGUAUGGGACUGAGGAGAUGAAGCAGACAAAGUUGGAGAAUGUGGAGGUGAGAAGUUUGAGCUGAAAUGUAAUGGAACAGCAUUGGAUGUGGGCUCCGAAUUUCCAAGAGAACCUUGCGACUUGUAGAUGUCGCCACUGAGAUAAUCAAUUUUGCCAGAAUCCACACUGAUUGGCUUCUUUGAUGCAGGAGGAGGGCUGAGUCUUGCCGGUUCAGUCCUAACACUGACUGGUUUCUUGGCUCGUCCUUGUAAAUUUUCUCUUGAUGACCUGCAGUUGAUAUUGCCAAACCAACUUGUUAGGAUAAGCAAUAUUUUCUCUUUGGUAGUGCAGUCAUUCCAAACAUAUAUAUACAUAGAUUAUAAUCUUGAAGCUACAAGAAUGAAUUAUAGAUAUUUGCCACAUCAUUUAAUUUAAUAAUUUGAUACUAAUUGAAUGAUCAUUUUUAGAGUUUGAUUAGAUUGAUAAUAGUAUGUUUAAUUUAAUUGACGGAUUAAGCGAGUAAAGUCACCUGUGAGCAAGCUGGACAAAAUCAUCUUCUGUCUCAUCUUCCUCAUGGUUAAUGACCACAAGUGGCACAACUGGUGUGUCAGCUUCCCUUUCUACUGGAGGAGUACCUUUUGCAAUAUCAUCAUGCCGACCAAGAACUCGCUGUAAGUUAUCAUACAAUGCCAACCCCUGAACUAGAAGCUCCUCGUCUCUGAAAGAAAAGACUACCUUCGUCAGUGUAAUCAACAGUUUUGAAGAAGACAAAAGAUUCAGUCAAUUCUUACGAUGUACUAUUCACAAGAAGCAUCACACGUUUUUGGUAAGAACGGCACUGGUCAACAAGGUCAACAAUCACCUCCUCUUUCACCCCCUGCCGUCAUACACAUACAUGUAAAAACUCAACUGAUAAUUGCAUAAAAUAACAUUUCACCAACAAUAUUGUAAGAAGCUUGAAUAUGUGAAAAUUCAGCAUCAACCAGGAUUCAGGAACUACACAUGUUAAGUGGAAUGAGAUCCAUUGUAUGUGAAUCAAAGAUAUUUUACAUCAAGGAGAGCAGACAUGACAUAGAUAGAGCUCCUCCCUAACUGCUUGCCCCUCUUAGUUAUGCAAAUUUCCAAGAGCAACAAACUGAUAAGGUUACAGCAGACCAGUAACUAAUCACCCAAUUCUGCUCUUUAAGUAACUUGAACUCCAGUUUUUCCCUCAGCAAAUUGGCUUCACAAAUACCUCUGAGUCAAACAAUAUGUAAAAGAAACCAAGACUACAAUUCAUGCCAUAACAAUCUAACAGGGUGUUUGAUAGCUCAAAUUAAGCUCUUACAUUAAGUUUGCAGCACUUAGUUUUAUGAGUGUAUGCCACCACUUAUUAAUGAAUUUAAAUGUUUUAAGUGCGUAUUGAUAAGAGUUUUAGCUUUCCGCAUCUAACAGAAAGAAAUCACAUAAGGGUCCAUUAGGAUAGAUACUCAUUUCAAAUGAAGGAGGAUUCAGAUUUCUGUUUCAUGUGAAAAGUUACAAAAUAUCAACAAACAUCAAAUUUGAAAUGCCUUUCAUUUCAAAAUCUCAUUUAUCCAAAAGGACCUAGAAAUAAAAAUAAUCUACAUGACGUUUUCUUCUAACAAUAACUUUCUUCAAUCAUCACUGCACCUUACUACCACUUGUCAUCUACCAAUAUCAUCAUUACAACCUAAACUGCCGCUAACACUUCAAGUCCACCACCAAUCAUCAUUGGUGCAUCACUGCUACUACCAGCAUCUCUAAUGUUAGAACCACCAUAGCCAUCCCCCCACUGCCUCCUCCAACAUGAACCAGUGCUACGGCGACCAUUAUUAUCACCAUCACACUACUGAUCCCGCCAUCAUCAUUAUCUCGCUUAUACCAACUGAUUCUUAAUUAUUUCCAAAUUAGAUUAUACUACUUUUAAAAGAUAUUAUUAAGUUCACAAUUUCUUUUUAAGUUAAACUUCAAAAUAAAAAUUAUUAAGCUCUUAAACUUGCAACAUUUAACGUCCACCAGAUAUGAACUAAAUAAAAUUCUGAGACAUCACACUUUUAGGAACACUAAUCAAAUUUAAGAAAAUUGUUAACUUAUAUUUGGAAAACAGAAAAUUGUUUUCUAAGAAAAUAACUUAUUUUCCAUUAUUCGGUUGCAAUAUUAAAAAAACAAAAAAUAUUAAUAAUAUUCAUAUAUAGAAAAUCUAGUUGUGUUAAUAAGAUUCUCAAAAUCUAGAAAAUGACUUUCUUUUUUUCAAGAAAGCAAAUCAAUUUCCCUAAAAAUGCCUUGAUUUUUCUUCGACCAAGGAAAUAUUUGAUUUUAACUAAUUCUAAUUAGUACUCCAAACAUCAAAAAUUUAAAAUAUAUAUUUUUGAAAAAUAUUUUCUAUGAAGCAAACAAAGUCUAAGAAACAAAAGCAACUAAGAAUUAUAUGUUGCCAAAAACCAAAAAAAUAGGCCACAAAAUCAUAUUGUCUAAAUAAUAAUUUAGAAGCAAUAUCUUUCCAGUGAAAUAGAAGUACCAGUAAUUGCUCAAUUGCUUACUUAAAAGGCUUGAGAUAUGUUAAAUAGUAAACACAAAUAUGAGAGAAAUAAUAUGCACUUUGAAACAAAAAGCACAAGGAUGCAGCCUGUCAAGGAACAUAAAGGCCUCAAAACAAGUAAGCUGCUUUAGAGAAGUAUAAAAGAUUUUACCUCAGGAUUCUUAGGAUCCAAGGCACUAAGCAUUUCCAUUAACACAUCUACUAGUCCCCUAGCAUUUUGAAUCUCCGGCAAGCUGAAAAUAAGCACUUCUUUUUGUGAAAAUCUACCACUAACCAACUGUUAAUCAACAGUGCCAGAAUGCACCUACUAAACAAUGGUGAGAAGUGCACCUUUUCAUUAUGUAGAACUGAAUUCCGUAAUCAGAUUUAUGUGAGGAAAAGCGAACCUUCAAACUAGCAGUUUGACCUUUGAACUUAGAUUUCACACUAGCAUACAUAUGCUUCACUAAUGCAAUUCCUCUUAUGAGUUAUGAUCUAGCCACCGACGUAUAGGGUGCAAAAUACAGAUACAUGUUCCUAUUUGACUUUAUUCUCAUUUAACACAGGAAACAUCAAUGAGCUAACUGCAAUACCAACUAAGGUAAUAGUUAUCCACAUUGCACAAGAAGCCUAGUAUCCAAUAUUACAUUCAUAACAAUGAAAAGUGUGAACAAGAAAUUUUGUUUUGUUUCUGAUCUGAGCAUUCAAAUGCACCUCUUUGUACUUAUUAUUAUUAUUUUGGUUUUUGUUUUUACAGGGUGAGGAGAAGUGUCAUACAUGAAAAGCUUGCCGUCAUUUUGAAGAACGUACAAGUUACUAA
rnacentral:lncRNA from 1 species